rnacentral:lncRNA from 15 species
AACGUCAGAAUAAAGUGAGAGGGCUGAGCUCAGAGAAAGAGCUGAUCAAUCACUGAGUAAACAUCACUGUUGUCCCCAGUCAGCCUCUAGGUGGCACUUCGGCUGCAAAAUCAUCAAAUGUGCUUAACUUAUUGUUCUAAUCUCCAACCUCGUUCUCAGAGCUGAGAUCUUCCAUUAAAACCUCUGUUACUGUCUCCAGUUUUGUUCCGGUGCUCAACCCGUCAUGAGGGUGUUCAGGACCGUCCUGUACAAACAGGAAGUGAUGUAUGCUGUGCUGGUCCACCGCCCGGCCAAUCAGCAGCUGUUCUCAGACCUUCCUCUGCUGACUGACGACCCAAACUCUGUGUGCACUUACAGAGACGGACAUUCAUCUGGAGGUCUGAGGCCAUGUGUGAGACACACAGAUAUAAGUUGCUCCGGAGAGAUGAUGAGAAGCAGAUGGAAGCGGAGGAGCUGGCGUACCAUCAUCAGUUUUAUGUCUGGCAUCACGCCGCUGUCGCCAUGCACGUGGAGGACAGCGACUCAAACUGGUUAGGGUUAGGGUGAGAAUGAUGAAAGACAGACAGACAGACAGACAGACAGACAGACAGACAGACAGGCCGGCAGUCAGGUAGACAGACAGACAGACAUACAGACAGACAGACAGUUCUCUCACAGUGUUUUUUCCUGACAUCCUCUGAUCAAACUGAUUGAUAAUUUGAGUUAGCAUUUAGCAUGGAUGCUAACAACACUGGAGCAUCAGCUCCUCCUGAACUCUGGAAACAUCUUUCAUUCAAAGCUCGUCAUCUUCUUCUGGUUGUGGUUCUGGUUGUGGUUCUGGUUUAGGUUGUGGUUCUGUUUCAGGUUCUGCAGUUCGAUGCUGGCCAACUGAGAACCUGACGUUCUGUGAUGAAGGACAAGUUACGAUAAAGGGUUCUUCUUUUGAACCGUUUGCAGGAGCUGCAGACAUUGUUAAAGAGCUGUGGCCCAACUGUCUCUCUCCACUGAAGAGAGCUGGAUGAAGAGCCGGCAGGGAUACAAUAUAAUAUGCUCAGGGUGGGCGGGGCCUAAACUGGACCUGUCUACCUCAAUCGUCAUGAUUCUGACUUUAAUAUUUUUUUAUGUUCUUUACAUGUAUUGACCUUUUUUCUGAGUUUACGUCUUUAAGUCUUUUUUAUAGAACUUUUAUUUAUUCUGCCACCUGUUCAUAAUGUUGGAUAAAAUAAAAACAAGAAAUGUAAUAACUGAGAUAAAGGACAUAAUGUGUUUGCAGUUACAUACUAACAAGGACCUUUUUAUUAAAAACAGUUUAAACUGUUGUUUUACUUUAUCAACGGAAACAACAUCAAAUUAAAGUUCCACAUUUGUACAAAUUAUCAGCUGCAGUUUCUUUCUAUGAUGUUAUAAAACGACAUUGAUCUGAACGGAGUUACUUUAAUAUCGGCUCUCACUACGGAAGCCAAAGGAUUCUGUUACAAACGUCCUCAAAAUAUUAAUAAAGUCUCUGGUUGUUUUGAUAGAGUUUGUUUCCAGCUGUUGUCAGUUUCUGUGUGAGACAAUAAAAGAUAGAACUGAAACUGAGACAUUUCAAUUCAAUUCAGUUUUAUUUGUAUAGCACCAAUUUAUAACAGAAGUUAUCUCAGGACACUUUUCAAAUAGAGCAGGUCUAGACCGAACUCUUUAAAACAUUAAUUACAGAGACCCAACAGUACCACCAUGAGAACUUGGAGACAAGGGCAAGGAAACACUGCCUGUUAAGAGGCAGAAACCUAGGACAGAUCCCGACUGAGAGAGAGAGAGAGAGAGACAGAGAGAGAAAGACAGACAGAGAGAGAGAGAGACACAGAGAGAACAGAGGUAAAGACAGAGACAUUUCACAGUGUGAGUGUAUUAUAACACACUGGUUGUGUCAGUUGCAGUACUUCAGUACAUGUGAACUGGGUCACUGGUUACUCAGAAUGAAUUUAAAGUCCAGCGAGGACCAGCAGGUUGCAGCACGUGAUCCUUUGUCCUGAAACCAUCAGUCACUCAGAGGACAGCAGCGGUGGAGAGUAAAGUUGGAGGUACUUGUACUGAACCAAUCAAUAGUCUGGAUGGUCUCCGGUGUCUUUCAUUAAUGCACACACGUUUUAUUGAUCAUUAAAUAAUAUAACAUAAAAUUCUCACAGAGUUUGUGAUCAGAAGAUAAACACAACAAAAGAUCAACACUUACACACUUUCUAUAGCCGACCAGCGUCAUUUAAUUCAAUUAGCUGAACGAGCUAACUAGCUAAUGGCAGCUAACAUUUCCAUUAGCAGAAAUUAGCUUACUUUACUUAUCAUCAAGUCCAUCAGGAAACUCCAUAAAUCACCUCGGUACCGCUGUCGUCUCGGAGGGUUGUGUUCACUGGGAGGCAGCUGAGCCCCGUUCGGUUGCACGCUAACGGCAAUGCAGCAGUUAGCAGAGUCAGAGGGGAAUACAGACAAUAUUCUCUCCAUAAAAUAAGAUCCAGUUUCACCCAAAUCACUGAUAAAGUUGUUUGUACAGUGUUAAUAAAGUUGUGUGUUUGUACAGUGUUAAUAAAGUUGUGUGUUUGUACAGUGAUAAUAAAGUUGUGUGUUUGUACAGUGUUAAUAAAGUUGUGUGUUUGUACAGUGAUAAUAAAGUUGUGUGUUUGUACAGUGUUAAUAAAGUUGUGUGUUUGUACAGUGUUAAUAAAGUUGUGUUUGUACAGUGUUAAUAAAGUUGUGUGUUUGUACAGUGUUAAUAAAGUUGUGUGUUUGUACAGUGAUAAUAAAGUUGUGUGUUUGUACAGUGUUAAUAAAGUUGUGUGUUUGUACAGUGAUAAUAAAGUUGUGUGUUUGUACAGUGUUAAUAAAGUUGUGUGUUUGUACAGUGUUAAUAAAGUUGUGUUUGUACAGUGUUAAUAAAGUUGUGUGUUUGUACAGUGUUAAUAAAGUUGUUUUGUACAGUGUUAAUAAAGUUGUGUGUUUGUACAGUGUUAAUAAAGUUGUGUGUUUGUACAGUGAUAAUAAAGUUGUGUGUUUGUACAGUGUUAAUAAAGUUGUGUGUUUGUACAGUGUUAAUAAAGUUGUGUUUGUACAGUGAUAAUAAAGUUGUGUGUUUGUACAGUGUUAAUAAAGUUGUGUGUUUGUACAGUGAUAAUAAAGUUGUGUGUUUGUACAGUGUUAAUAAAGUUGUGUGUUUGUACAGUGUUAAUAAAGUUGUGUUUGUACAGUGAUAAUAAAGUUGUGUGUUUGUACAGUGUUAAUAAAGUUGUGUGUUUGUACAGUGUUAAUAAAGUUGUGUGUUCGUACAGUGAUAAUAAAGUUGU